rnacentral:SRP_RNA from 1 species
GCUGGGCGUAGUGGUGCACACCUGUAGUCCUAGCUACUUGGGAGGCUGAUGGGGGAGGAUUGCUUGAGCCCAGGAGUCUGAGGUUGCAGUGAGCCAGGAUCACACCACUGCACUCCAGCCUGGGCAACAAAGUGAGACCCUAUCUCUA